rnacentral:rRNA from 1 species
GCAAGUCGAGGGGCAUCAGGACGAUAGCUUGCUAUUGUCGCUGGCGACCGGCGCACGGGUGAGUAACGCGUAUCCAACCUUCCGCAUAGUAGGGAAUAGCCCGGCGAAAGUCGGAUUAAUGCCCUAUGUUUCCGAUGAGGACAUCUGAGCUGGAACAAAGAUUUAUCGCUAUGCGAUGGGGAUGCGUCUGAUUAGCUUGUCGGCGGGGUAACGGCCCACCGAGGCAACGAUCAGUAGGGGUUCUGAGAGGAAGGUCCCCCACAUUGGUACUGAGACACGGACCAAACUCCUACGGGAGGCAGCAGUGAGGAAUAUUGGUCAAUGGGCGUAAGCCUGAACCAGCCAAGUAGCGUGCCAGGAAGACUGCCCUAUGGGUUGUAAACUGCUUUUAUGCGGGAAUAAAGUCAGGUACGCGUACCUGUUUGUAUGUACCGCAUGAAUAAGGACCGGCUAAUUCCGUGCCAGCCGCCGC